UACGAACCGUGCGAACGUUGUUCGGAAUCACUGGGCUUAAAGGGCGCGUAGGCGGAUGACCAAGUCAGGGGUGAAAGCCCGCAGCUCAACUGCGGAAGUGCCUUUGAUACUGGUUGUCUCGAGGGAGAUAGGGGCAUGUGGAACUUCCGGUGGAGCGGUGAAAUGCGUAGAUAUCGGAAGGAACGCCGGUGGCGAAAGCGACGUGCUGGAUCUCUUCUGACGCUGAGGCGCGAAAGCUAGGGGAGCAAACGGG
rnacentral:rRNA from 1 species